AGAAGACACAUCUUGGAGACCAUCAGUAUAAAGGAGUGUGGUUGGGAUGGGGAAGUUAGGGUUAAAAGGACAAUGCUAGGAGGAAGGCUGUGAAGUCUUGAAUCUACUCACUUUGGAGAAUUUCUUACACUAAAGAAGCUAUUCUCCAAGAAAAGCAAAAUGUUGGGUAUGAAGAGAUUAUUUCUGGAGCUCAAGGAGUGCAGUUAACAGUUUUCUGCUUGUGAGGGCUUUUCGCUACAAAAGUCAGUAUUAUUGAAGCUUAGGGGGAAAAACAACCAAACAAAAAUAACAGCAGUAUAUAAUAGCAUAUUCAGGGAGAAGACAGUUGGUAACUAUCAAACUGUUGUUUUCAGAGACCUGGAAAUAGCACAAGAGGGAAGGAGACUGCCAAGGUCAUCGAACUGCAGAUCCCAACAACCGCAUCAGCUAACAGCCGCACUCAUCAAGAAGUGCAGACAGAAUGUGUUUCCCCAAACCUACACUGUUAAUGGUCAACACUGUCAACUUCUUGGAUGCAGAACUGUAUAGAGAAAGAGAAGAUCAAACCAAACAUCGCUUGAGAAUCUGGACCAUAAGGAACCACAACAGAAACUAAGACACGAAGAACCUCAACGCUUUUAAGGGACACUCCUCUAUAUGGCUGUCCAUUAACCCAAACUGAGAGGUCUCCUUUCUUAUAUGCUGGACACCAUCCAUUUCCUGUUCCUCAGGGUACUUGAAGGCUGAAGCAGCCCAAAUGAUGAUUUUUGCUGCCAGCUGGGGGCACUCAGCCCAGGCCUUGAGCUGGUUGUAGGUGACUGAAAUUUGAGCGCUACCAGGAGGAUCCUCCAUAAUUCCUCAUCCCAAGUGGGGAGAGAAGAAAGAGGAGAAAUUCAGAAUCUUGACGGAAGAGCCACGUUCCUGCUUCACCAUGGGGACUGAGUAGGAAGUUGUUUGCUUGUGUUUUCCUGCUGGAAAGACCAGAAUCUUGCAUUGCAGAGGAAGCCUUCCCCCAUCUGCUGGCUAGGCAAGAGGGAGAGAUGCAAAG
ensembl:lncRNA